UAGGGAAUCUUCCGCAAUGGGCGAAAGCCUGACGGAGCAACGCCGCGUGAGUGAUGAAGGUCUUCGGAUCGUAAAACUCUGUUAUUAGGGAAGAACAUAUGUGUAAGUAACUGUGCACAUCUUGACGGUACCUAAUCAGAAAGCCACGGCUAACUACGUGCCAGCAGCCGCGGUAAUACGUAGGUGGCAAGCGUUAUCCGGAAUUAUUGGGCGUAAAGCGCGCGUAGGCGGUUUUUUAAGUCUGAUGUGAAAGCCCACGGCUCAACCGUGGAGGGUCAUUGGAAACUGGAAAACUUGAGUGCAGAAGAGGAAAGUGGAAUUCCAUGUGUAGCGGUGAAAUGCGCAGAGAUAUGGAGGAACACCAGUGGCGAAGGCGACUUUCUGGUCUGUAACUGACGCUGAUGUGCGAAAGCGUGGGGAUCAAACAGGAUUAGAUACCCUGGUAGUCCACGCCGUAAACGAUGAGUGCUAAGUGUUAGGGGGUUUCCGCCCCUUAGUGCUGCAGCUAACGCAUUAAGCACUCCGCCUGAGGAGUACGACCGCAAGGUUG
rnacentral:rRNA from 1 species